rnacentral:tRNA from 1 species
CGGGGCGUGGCGCAGUCCGGCUAGCGUGCACGGUUUGGGUCCGUGAGGUCGCGGGUUCGAAUCCCGCCGCCCCGA